UGAUAGAUUGAAGAUGGAUAUUGUCAUCUAAGGUUCCAACAACUUUUACGGCUGUGAUAACCAAUGGAUAUGGAAGCACUAUAUUGGCAGUGAAACGAGGAUUGUCAGACAUGGAUUGGCCGACAUGUGGUUGGUGAAGAACGACAGGUAGUUUUAAGGAUGAAAGAUGAGAUUUUGGGCCAACCCCACUUAGAAGGAGAAGUUGAGGACUUCCAAUGGCUCCUGCACUUAGAAUAAUUUCUCCUUUUUUGCGGAUGGAUGCUGUGUGUAACCUUCCUUUGGAGUCUGAAUAUAAAACUCCACUUGCUGAUAAACCUACACAAGUCCAAGAAAAGAAAUCAAUGUGAUACAAAGUUGGAGGAAGCCAUUUAUGGAACUAGUAGGGGUGUAAGUGGUUCCGUCCGACUAGGUUUUUACAGAAAACCAAAACCGAACCGUUCAUUCGGCAGAAGAAUUGGUGUGAACCAAAGCCGAACCAUAUAUAAUCCCAAACCGGAUGUAAUAGUGUGUUAAAUAUAAGGACUAAACUGUCAACAUUAAGAUUUCGAGUUUUACGUAUCAAUAUUAAUGGAUUUAUCAACAACCAAAUAGUUAUAGUUAUAUCAAUGAAUUAAAAUAAUGUGAGAUUCACUAUUCCAUUUAGCACUAACCAGAAAAGAUGAUUUUCUCUACUGUGGCUCGGACGACAACUUUAAGAUUAUUGGGUUGAGCCUUAUUCAAAAGCUCCACAGAUCCAUGUCUAUUUCCUUCCUUAUCAAAGAUUGACCCUCCAAUCUUAGUCCCCAAACGAUGGUUCAACUCAAAUCCAUUAUAAGGACCAACGCCAGCUUCCAACAAACCAUUUCUGAAAGCAUAUUGCCAACCAUUAUUCAAACUUGCUUCAAACACCACACUCUCUUCAACCCAUUCAUAAGCCUUUUUCACCAAUUCCAUGUCCCACUUAACUCCAGCAGUUUCAAAAAACUCUUGAUGUCCCCUUGAGUAGAACCCACCAUUGAGCAUACUAGUACCACCAAGGACUCGUCCUCUUAGAUUCUCCACGCCAUCCUCGGAAACAAAUCGUUGGAAAGGAUUUUCUCCAUCGUCUUCAACCGUGUAGACGUUUAAGAAACUUUGUUCCUUCAAUACAGAGGGAUACUUGGUUGGUUCACUACCUCUUUCAAGAAGUAGAACUGAGAAAUUUGAUGUUAAUGUUGCAGCUAAUGGACACCCUGCUGUUCCUCCCCCUAUUAUUAUGUAGUCGUAUUUUUCUUUUGUUGGUAAAUCACUAGCAUCAUGUACAAACUUCAUGUAUCUAAAAUCUGGAAAAAAGAAAAGAAAAGGAAUAAUAUAUUUAUGAUGAGAAUAUUAAAGGCAAUUAAAAAAAUAUUCACUCGAUGAGAGAAAUCAAUAGAUAUGCUGAGACAUCCCAAUUAGGUUGACAUGGAAGCAUAUUCAUUAGGCUCCAAGCCCAAAGAUAAAGCGAGCAAUGCAAGGAGGCAACCAUAAUUAAAUGAUGUUGGAAGAAAAAUGGGGUUUUAUUACCUUCAUUAGGUUUAGUGUUUGAGGAGAGGGAGACUCCCAAUUGAAACUGAAGCAUAGAUAUGAGAAUGAAUAGAAGAAAGGAAGCCAUAAUAAGACUAUGCUCCAUUAUUGUGUUUUUUCAAAUUUCUUUAUGUGGAGAGGGCAUGUCUGAAUGUGUAUAUAUAGAAAGAGAUAGGAGUUUGAAUUUAAAAUAAUUUGACAUUCUCGUGAUAGCUAGCUGUGAUGUAUACAGUUGGUCAAAUUUAAACAACACAAAGAAAAUGAACUUUUACUCUAAAUCGUUUUUAGAGAAAAAUAACAUGAUUAGAGAAAUACCAUGUCCUUUCAUUUUUAUCAUUCUUGUUACUCCAUGGAAUGACAAUUCUCUGAUUGAAAAAGAGAAAAAAAAACAUAAUGUUUAGGUAAGAAGAAAACUGAGAUUGUUUUAUCUUUAAUAGGAAAAACCAAUAAUUUAUUCAACCGUAACGAUUACUUAAAAAAUAAAGUUAAAAAUUUCAUGUGGUAUUUAAAGAAAUUAAGGCAAAUUGUUUUGAGAAAACUAGGAAGAUUCGAUAAUUAACUAUACAAAAUUUGUGUAAUAAGGUUAGAAUAUGAAAAAACUAAUAAUUUAUUUGCACGUAAUAAUUACAUCAAAAAGUAAAAAUUUGACAUCGUAUUUAAAAAAAUAACUGAAAAAUGUUUUACGAAAAUAGGACAUUUUGAGAAAUUAAUUAUACGAAAUCUGUGUAUUGAAUUUAGAAUACAUAUUUCUUUAAAAAUCAAUAAAUUGUUCGCACGUAACGAUUAUAUAAAAAAUUGUUGAAAAUAGACGUUAGAUUUAAAGAAACUACUAAAAAAUAUUUUACGAAAAUAGUAUAAUUUAAUAAAUUAAAUAUACAAAUUUGUGUUGGAUUUAGAAUACGAAUUUUUUGAAAGAAAUAUAUAUGAAAAUAAAUUUCAUAACACUACCUACAUAACACUUACCCCAAACACAUCUUAUCAUAAUACUAGAUUUAUCAUAACACUAACCUUUCAUAUCUCAAUCUUUCCCCCAAACACACCAUAUCAGUUAUUACCAACCAAACAUUUUUAAUUAGAUUGACAAUAUACCAAUUUUACAAGUUAAACUCUACAUACUUUAACAUGCCAAAAUAUUGAAUACCCAUUUAACUUGUUUGGUUGGAGUUUUAAUUUAUUUUAACAUUAUGACUUUUAACUAAUUAAUUAUAGUAUUUAAAUGCUUAAUUAAUGGCCACGACAACUCAUUUUUACUUUUGCACACAACCAUCCAAUUCAAAAUACUACCUAAACAUACAAUAAAAUUUAACUCAACUAAUAAAAUAUCAUUUUAUUUUCUAUAAAAUCUCUUUUAUUUUCUAUAAAAUCUCUUUUAUUUAUUGUAUUGUUGAAUAUUUAAUUUUUUUUUGUUAAAACAAGUUAGUUUCUUAAAUUUGGAUAAAUAAUGUAGUUUUCAAAAAUAAUUAUUAAAAUAUUGUAGAUGGAAAUACUAUGUUUGAGGUUAGAGAAGUGUUUUAGUUGGUUAGAGAAGUGUUUUAGUUGCUUCUGAAUGUCAUUCUUGAAGAGAGUAUAUAUCUUUAUGUCUCAACCCAAAGGUUAUAAUCCGACGUCAGGAGCAAAAAGUUUGCAAGCUGAAUCGAUCCAUUUAUGGGUUGAAACAAACAUCUAGAUCUUGGAACAUUAGAUUUGAUAUUGCGAUCAAAUUAAUCUUACGGUUUUAACCAAAUCGUUGAUGAACCUUAUGUAUACAAGAAAAUCAACAAAAGUAAAUGGCUUUCUUAGUACUUUAUGUGGAUGACAUCCUUCCCACUGGGAAUGAUGUAGGAUGCCUAACUGACAUUAAAACUUUGGUAGUAGCCCAAUUCCAAAUGAAAGAUUUGAUAGAGGCACAAUAUGUUCCAGAGAUCUAAAUCAUUAAGGAUUGUAAGAACAAAACGCUAGUACCGUCUCAAGCAAUCUAUAUCGACAAAUUGUUGGUUCGAUAUUUGAUGCAGAACUCUAAGAAGGGUUUGUUACCUUUCUGGCAUAUGGUUCACUUGUCUAAGCAGUAGUGUCCUAAGGCACCUUAAGAAGUUAAGGUUAUGAGACGUAUUUCCUAUGUCUCAGUUGUGAGUAGGUUAAUGUAUGUUAUGCUCUGCACUAGAUCAGACAUUUGUUAUAUAGUGGGAGUGGUCAGUAGAUAUCACUUCAACCCAGGGUUAGACCACUGGACAACAGUUAAAAUUAUUCUCAAGUAUCUGCUACAAGAAAAAUGGUCUACGAUGACAGUUAUUUUCUGUCGCGAAUAAAAUUCGUGACAGUCAUUUACAGUCAUAGAAGCGGGAGUCAUGGAAAGUCCUUCCAUGAUAGUUUUCGAAAACUGUCGUAAUAAGAUUUUUCAUGACAGAAAAUAAAUGUCGUUAAUUACUAUUUUAUGACAACAAAUAACUGUCAUAUUUUAUAUUAUGACAAUAAAGAACUGUCAUCAUUUGCGUAUUAACGACAAUUUAAAAAUGUCACAAAUUCGUUUAUUAUGACAUUUUUUAAAUGUCAAGAAUAUGUCAAUCGUGACAGUUUUUUUAAAAAUUAAAUGUCAAUGUUUUGCUAUUUAUGACACUUUUUUCUGUUAAAUAUAGGGCAAUCCUGAUAGUUUUUCUUAUAAAAUAAUGUUAUUGUUUCAAUAUUGACGACAGUUAUGAAGUGUAACGAAUUCAUAUAUUAUGACAUUUAUUUCCUGUUGCAACUUCUUCAAUUACUAUCGUUUUUUCCUGCUCUCCUUGUCGCUCCACCAUUACACGAACCAUUUGAACGACAAUAAUAUUAUAAUACAUAAGACCCAUAUAAAAACAAAUAGUCGACACUUUAAUAUAUAUACACCAUAAUACACUUUGUAAUAUUCGUACAUUUUCAAUCAAGUUUUGAAUAAUUUACAAGUAUGAAAUUACAGUCUUUAAUCAAAACUAGUGUAAAUAUCAUCAUAAUGCAUAUAACAUGAUUUUCUGUACAAGCAUAAACAACCAAAAUAUAGAAUACAAUCUACAUACCAAUCUUCCAUCUUCAUCUCUAAACAAACCAAAAAGUGUUCUAUCCAUCAAUUGCUCCAAGUUAGAUUCAUUGCUUCAAUAGAUUCUUCCAAACCUAGUAAGAAAACAAAAUCUCAUUUUAAAGUAUGACUAAAUAACAUCUCAACCCUUCAUUCCAGCCACCCUCCCAACAUAAUCAAGAAUAGUGAAAAUGGCACACACAUAACAUAUGUCUAAACCCUUUAUUCCAACCCCCCAAGUGAAAAUGGCACACAUAAAAUAAAAAUUAAGAAAAAGACUACCAUAACUGCAGGAUAGUCAUAACACUUCAACAUGUAUUUAGGUUCAAGAACUACCAAACCACCCUCAAAAAGGUAAACUCACACCCACGUUGUCAUAAAAUAAAAUAUGCCAGUUAUUUGAAGUCGUUGAAUGUUGAUUAACGACAUUUAUUUCAUGUCAUAAAAUAACCUAUUGCGACAGUUUUUGAAAACUGUCGUCAAAGGACUUUCCAUGACUCCCGUUUCUAUGACUAAAAAUAACUGUCGUGAAAUUCGUUUACAACAGUAAAUAACUGUCAUCAUAGACCACUUUUGUACUAAUGCACACACAUAAAGUGGUUCUCUACUUUAGCCAAGAGUUGGAGCUUUGCUCCCCUAUAACUGAGGGCACUCAAACCCCAGAUAGGAAAGACAACAUGGGUUUUUGGCCUAAAGCUCACUUAAAUGUUCAAAUUAGAGACCUCUAAGCUGGUAUGACAAGAGAGUACCACAAGUCAUUGUUAACUUUGAAUAUAGACAGUUUAGGUGAGCUCUUUGUACCAUUGAUUGUAACUCCAACAUUUCAAGGAAAAGUAAUGUUUCUUUCUGCAGAAAUAAUAAUCAACUGUUGCACUUACGAAAAACAUUACGCCCCUUAAACCAAAAAUUUGGGUAUUUUCCACCAUACCAUCUAAAAUAAUUAAGAUAUAUAUGUUGCAUACAGCCAGUAAUUAUAUUACAUAGUAACUAUAUUUAUCAUAGUUCACAACACACCUAAAGAAGGUUGCUCCUGAAAUCGUAUAAUUCAGCAGCUGCCAAGACCACAUUACAAAGAUGGUUGCUACAAUAAACCUGAAAACAAUAAUGGAAUCAAAAGCUUAAAGAAUAGCUGAUUAUUAUAAGAACCACAUCCCAGAACUGAAACACAAACAACAUCACAAGAAUUAUUCCAGCAUCUCUAUCUUCAACUUUAUCCGGACUCUCAAUUAUCUAUUUCAUUAUCAAGAUACAUAGAUGGGAGAAAUAAAACAAUAGUUGAAUGACUUGCAUAAUUGAAAAUUUUGAGCUCUUUGGAUAUUAUUGAAUUCUUCAAUUAAUCCGUGGUCAAAUUCUAGAAUGUCGUAACAUAUAUGAGUCUAUCACUAAUAAUAGGUGUUCAUCAAUAAUAUACUUUUAUCACUUGUAAUAAAUCUAUCAGUGAUAGAAAUUUAUUAUUGUUAAUAAUUUUAUCAUAAUUGAUAAGCUUCUAUCAAACGGUAGAAGAUUAGUGACAAGAUAGUUUUUACAAUAUUUUAGUUAAUUUUCCCAUAAAUGCAAAAGAUUAAUGUCUUUAAAAUUUGUAAAAAAUUGUAUUGAAUGAUAAAUUAAUUAAGUUAUUUUGCAAAAAUGUCUUUAAAGUUUGUGAUUUUAUAAAUAUAGCAAAAAAAAAUAAUAAGUCCAAACUUUUUUAUAUGCAUGGAUUGGAUUUUGUUUUUUUCAUUUUCAUAAAUAAUAAAGUAUAUAAUUUAAUUAUAAUAACUUGUUUUUCCCUUUUUGGGCAGGGAACAACAUUAGCUGGUAAUGAGUUCAAUUAUGUUUGAAGUCAACUCUAUUUUAUGAGUAAAAGAGAAGACAAAACAAUAAGUUUAUUGUGGGAAUAAGAAGAAAAAAAUAAUACAAUAUUUAGAAACCCAUUAAAAAUAUGAACAAACAACUAUCAUAAUAAAAUACACAUUAAUUAUAUUAAAGGAAAAAACAAGAUAGAUGCAGCCGACGAACAACUAACAAGAACAUUGACCAAAAAUUGGCCUCGUAAUUUAUUUGAGAUUCGAUCUUUGAUGGAGUAACUUAAGGCCAACAUAUCUGCAAAAUUAUUUUGAAAUGAUUAGUUCAUUCAAAUAAAAGAGAAUAUUGAAAUUAAAUCACAAGUUACAUCCUAUUUCUUUAUAUGAACAUAUUAUAUGGUGUUACUUUUUUUUUUUUUUUGAAAGAAAACUUCAAAGUUUUGAUAAUCCUAUAGUUGCAAACAUAGAGAGAAAAAAAAAGGAAUUACUCACCGGCCAAGCAUCAUGAGAGUGGCCAUGGGAUUAGUUCCCGGCGACUCAGAGAAAGUGGAGCCAUCGACAACACGCAGAUUUUUAAUUCCAAUCACUUUAUAAUUACCGUCAACCACUUUUCCCACCAAACAUCCUCCAUGGUAAUGCCAAUAAGUAGUCACUGUCUUUUUACAAUAUUCUUCAACAGAGCUAUCAUUCCACAAAUUUUCCGGUAGUGGAACACCCAAGAACUCAAACCCUUUAUUACCCUCCAAAUUUUUUGUCUUAAUCUUUUCCAUAGUUCGAGUUUUAAGCAAAUCUCCCAUUUUUCUUACACCUUUAACACAUCGACCAAGAUCAUCAGGAUGUGAAUAAUAGUUGAAUCCAACAAUGGGACUCUUUUUCACAUUAGUAGAGGAAUUUAAUCGAAGUGAGCCUUCAGAAUGAACUUCGGAGAAUUUUCCAACAAACAUGGCUAAGGUUGGGAUGAUGGAAGUGGCUUGAGGAGGAAGAAGACUGAAAAUUUGGGGAAUUAAAAUUGGGAAAGGGCUGGCAAUAGAUUGUAUAUAGAUAUUGUCUUGUAAAAUUCCAACAACUUUUACAGAAGAAGGAAGAACUGGAAAUGGAAUGAUGAUGUUGGUGCCAAAACGGGGAUUGUCGGACAUGGAUUGGCCGACAUAUGGUUGGUGAAGAACGACAGGUAGUUUUAAGGAUGAAAGAUGAGAUUUUGGGCCAAUCCCACUUAGAAGGAGAAGUUGAGGACUUCCAAUGGCUCCUGCACUUACAAUGAUUUCUCCCUUUUUGCGAAUGAUUGCUCUGUGUAGCUUUCCUUUUGAAUCUGAAUACAACACCCCAUUUGCUGAUAAACCUACGAGUCAAAAUAAUACAUGAUAAAAAACUGUGGAAAUUAUCGGUUGGAAUAAAUGAUAUGAACUCGAAAUAUGACUUUCUUCAAAAUUAAUGCAUUUUAGAAUAACUUUUCACGAGUUAAAUUGAACUUGAAAUAAGCUUUUUUCAAGUUCAAUUUAUUUUCAAAAAAAUCUUGUGAAAGAGUGUUGCUUCAACAAGAAAUGUACUUUGUUAAAUCCUAGAAAACAAUUUCUCGGAGUUGGUAAAAUUAUCUCAAUGGAACAAUACAUAAAGUCAUUGGCUCAGGUUUCCUCAUGAGAUUACGUUAAAGUAUAAAUUAAAACUCCAGUCAUUUAAAACAAAUAUAAUUUAAAUGGAAUAUUUGCAAGCACUAACCAGA
rnacentral:lncRNA from 1 species